rnacentral:sRNA from 1 species
AUGGCAAGAUCUACUAUCCCUAUAUAUUAUGUAUGUGGGAUAGUAGAUCUUGUCAU